CUACCUGCUAGUAACGUUGGACACAGCGUUCUCGAGCGAGAGAGAAAAAAGCGUUAAUGUGGAACGCUAUCCCACUUUCCUUUCUCCCCUCAUUGGACUAAGUUUGUCGACACUACUGUGUGCGUGCAUCAAUAAGUAAGUCUGAUGACAAUGUUAUACA